rnacentral:rRNA from 1 species
GACGGACGCUGGCGGCGUGCUUAACACAUGCAAGUCGAACGGAAAGGCCCUGCUUUUGUGGGGUGCUCGAGUGGCGAACGGGUGAGUAACACGUGAGUAACCUGCCCUUGACUUUGGGAUAACUUCAGGAAACUGGGGCUAAUACCGGAUAGGAGCUCCUGCUGCAUGGUGGGGGUUGGAAAGUUUCGGCGGUUGGGGAUGGACUCGCGGCUUAUCAGCUUGUUGGUGGGGUAGUGGCUUACCAAGGCUUUGACGGGUAGCCGGCCUGAGAGGGUGACCGGCCACAUUGGGACUGAGAUACGGCCCAGACUCCUACGGGAGGCAGCGGUGGGGAAUAUUGCACAAUGGGCGGAAGCCUGAUGCAGCAACGCCGCGUGCGGAUGACGGCCUUCGGGUUGUAAACCGCUUUCGCCUGUGACGAAGUGUGAGUGACGGUAAUGGGUAAAGAAGCACCGGCUAACUACGUG